CACCUGUUCCAACAGCUGAGGCCAAUUGCUCAUUGACUAUAUAAAGUGUGGGUACUCCCUACUAUUAUCCUGCUGCUUUGCAAUAGGUCGUUGGAGAGCAUAACUAGCCAGGUUUUUCUCUUUACCUGCUCCUGGAAACCCUUUCUAACCGCAUAUUUUGUUCUUAAUUCUUUUCUGCUGACUUCAGUUAACUGCGACUUUCCCAUCGGUUGUUUUUUGUUUUUGUUUGUUCAUGUCUUUACUGUUCUAGUGGGGCUUGAUUUUCUUCUUUGUAGAGUACUGAAGUUACUUAGCAAAUGAGCGUACGCUGGUUUUCUUGGUUGUGGGGAUUACUCGUGAUCGCACGCUAACAGGUUUCCACCUUAGUCCAUUGCUUGUGAUCAGGCAAGUUCACUUGUGAUGUGGCAAUUGGUAACCAUCUUGCGUAGUGACCUGGGUGUAGUCAAAUCUACUGUCUUUGGUGGUAGGUGUACAAAUUACCACCAGUGGUCCGCUGUGCCUAUGGGGUGACAUUUUAGUCUGCCCUGGGAACUAGUUUGUAAAGCCUCCUGUGAAACUGGCUCUUAGGGCUUUGGGGUUGAAAUGCUGAGGCCUGAUAUAGGUCAACGUUGAUUCAGGGACUAUGGUUGUAGAUCACAAUCUUGCAGUAUAUCCUAUGUUUCUAGUAUUAAUGGUACCUAUGAGAUGUAGUUAACUGAUAUUUUGCUAUAUGAGGAGGAAUACAUUUAUUUAAGUGAUUACCUGCUGAGCUAUGUUAUAAUGUUGAUUGUGCUACAGUAAUGGUAGUACAAUAUCUUUCUUUAUCAUGAUAGAAUUUUUACUAUAAUGUGUUUUACCAGUCUAAGCGUGCUGCAAGGGACCAAAGAGGCCAGUAGUGGACCAAAACAGAUAGCACUUCUCCCUUGGUUCCUCCUUGAACCCUGGCCAGGUUUUGGGAGAAAACCAACAGGAGACAGAGGAAACCAGAUGUUCCGCCUGACUGUUUCAUAGAUUGGUUUGUUUAGUGACACAAAAGCUGGACCUGCUUGCAGCGACUAUGGAGACCUCGACUACGGGGUGGACGCACUGCCGUAGGCCUUCCCAGUUGCCGGGACGGGUUCUCCAGAUCCUCGCUGCAACCAGGGCUCCCCAGCAGCUGCGGAUCUGGAUGGUGGUCAAAGUAGUAGAGUAGUGAUUGAUAAGUAGACUCAAAGUUAAAGAAUUGUUCAGGUUGGACAAGACCUUCAAGAUCAAGUCCAACCACAACUGAACCAUGCAACCCUAACUCUAGCAACCCACUGCUCGAUGAUGUCCUUGAGCACCAUGUCUAGAUUGUUUUUAAACACAUCCCUGUACCUUUCUUAAUCAGUAUUACUAACUUACAUAGAGUGAUUAAAUGCUUUGCUUAUUUUCUCUAUCAUUAAGCUUACCUUUUGGCUAUAGGCACUGCUCUAUAUUUGCAUCGUUUUGAAAUGCAGGGUAAAAUAUGCUUAUUUCUUCAGUUGGUGUCUGUAUACUUCCUGUUAACCCUGUCAGUUGGCAAAGCUUCUGGUGUCAUAUAGCAGAUUUGAACAAAAUGUCACUGUUUAAAUUUAAGCAGAAUGUCUUCGCUCCAUCUGAGCUUCCUAGAUGUGAGCGGGUUCCAUUUAGUUCACUGGUUCUUGAGCGGACAAAGGUUGGAGAGUUGUUUAAACAGUGUGCAAGUGAGUUGAAAGAAGCCAAACUGCUGAACAUAAUUCAACUGUGUCCAAAAAAAAAAAAAACCACAGAUGAUUGAUAAUGGAGAAGUAACCGGGGGCUUGGGAAGGCAAAGAUGGAUCUUGUUAGCAGCCUGUUGGAACCAGAACCAACGAAAAGAGCAAUUGUUGCCAAGUUUUUCUCACAUAGAGGUAACAAGUGUGUGAUUUGCAGAAUUAGAUUGUGACGUUGCAGUGCCGAAAUAAGUUGUUUGUUGAUAAGCUGGGUCUUUUUUAGAAUGGAGGUGAGAGGGGUGCUGUUGGCUUUGUGCAAUAUGAGAAGAGAACAAAUGAAUCUUAAGGAAGUGCGUUUAGCAAUUGCAGAAGCAGGUAUGCCAUGGGAUCCUGAUAAAUGAGAUGGGGAUGGUUGGGAUUUGGUGUGUUCUGUAGAGUCUGGUUCCUCAGAUGGAGUUUUGAGUGUAAAACCAUUGUGGAGAAAGGAGAGUUGAAUUUGAUGCUGCUGGGCAGCCAGUGAGGAAGGAUGUGGUAGAGCCUUGUACUUGGUAUGAACUAAAUUAGAUAAUGGAGCAGUUUAAAGGCCAGGGGAACCUCGGUUUUUUGUGGGUGGUGUGUUUGUAUGACCAGGGAGUACUCUGUAUCACUUUAAAUGUAGGAGAUGCUAAAAGGGUUUUUAUCUUGCACAAAGGUGUCCAGGCUAACAUUUGAAGUAAUGACAGGGACAAUAGUUAGUUAACCAUGGCCACUCAAGGACAUAAUGCGAAGUACCCUACAGAAAAUGACUAGUAAUGAAUCAAGGAGGAAGGGAUGAAAUGGGCCUUGUUUUCCUGGGCGAUGCUGGCACUUUGAUCAGAACACUUGGUUGGUUGCAGCGAGGAAUGGAGUGAUAAAAAUUGCCCCACCAGUGUAUAUGACUGUGAUCAUGAUUUUCAGUCAAUGAAACUAGGAACACCCAUAGUGAAGUCACUUAAAAAAGUAAAUAAAAGAAAAAGAAAAAAAGAAACCCAGAAAUUAGUGCUCUUGGGGUAUGGGACCCCUGUGGAAGUGCAGGAAACCGAGGUACCCACAGCCCUUUUAGGGAACGUGAAAGCUGGUUUUCUCUUAGUGAAAUGCUUACAGCUUUGCUGAAAAACAGUUUGUCUUAAGAUGAGACUGUUGGCGUACUGAUCCAGGACUCGCAGAGACUUGAUAAACAAGGGGUUGAACGAACCUAACAGGCAAGUGCAAAAUUUUAAAGCAGCAGUUCUAGAAGCAACUCGGUCUUCAGCACCUCCUCUGAAGCCUCGACGGGACUUUACAUCUGCUCAUGGAGGGCCCCCUGUGAGUGGAUCGACUGUUCCGGGGGAACAGGAGGAUUGGGAGCUGUUUUCUGACUUGCAUCCUUGGAAAGUAACUGGGGAAGUAGUUCAGCAUGAACAGACUGAAACAAUGGUCCACCUCUGGUGCAAUGGGUAUGGAAGGCCCUUUGACGCCAUGUGGCGCUUAGAAUAAUUUGGAGAAACUGGUCCUCCUGAAUUCUAAAAUCCUUCAUUUCCACUGGAUUUGAGGUCUCUUCAAUGAAUGGAAACCCUAAGGCUUUUAAAGGACAGCCCCUAAUUAUUACCCUUUUGGGAGGGAAACAAGUUGUAGCUGUGCAAACACAACUGGAAAUGAAAAUAGGGAAUCUCUCUGGUUGUGUUCUGUUACGUACUCUGGGAUGAGAGCAAUCAGAAUAGAUGUUUUGGAAGGACUGGCCUUGAAUCUCUCUGAUAGCCAAUACCAAUAGGAUGUAAAGAAUUAGGUUAGUGCCCAAACAGUUUUAGUGAGAAGUAUCUUUUGAUUUCUUUAUGAAAGCCACCUGUAUCAAUUCUAGCUGUAACAAAAUAAGUGACCAUGAAAAAAUGUAGAGUGGAGUAGCUCAGAAAUAGGUGGCACUUCUCCCUUGGUUCCUCCUUGAACCCUGGCCAGGUUUUGGGAGAAAACCAACAGGAGACAGAGGAAACCAGAUGUUCCGCCUGACUGUUUCAUAGAUUGGUUUGUUUAGUGAUACAAAAGCUGGACCUGCUUGCAGCGACUAUGGAGACCUCGACUGCGGGGUGGACGCACUGCCGUAGGCCUUCCCAGUUGCCGGGACGGGUUCUCCAGAUCCUCGCUGCAACCAGGGCUCCCCAGCAGCUGCGGAUCUGGAUGGUGGUCAAAGUAGUAGAGGAGUGAUUGGUAGCUAAACUCAAAGUUACAGUACUGCUCAGGUUUGAAAAGACCCUUCAAGAUCAUCAAGUCCAACCACAACCUAACUAGAUUACCUUAACUCUUAACAACUAUGUUAGCUCUAUUUUUUUUUUUUUGCAUCAUUUUGAUAUAGACAGUAAAGUUUAUCCCUUUAGUUGAUGUCUGUGUCUUUUCUGUUGUCCCUGUCAAUGGCAAAAUGAGUCCCUCUGUCCUGGUUCCUUCUUCAGUUCUGCUUUUUGAGAGCCCAGCUGUCAGGAAUUCUGAAAUACAUGAACUCAAUCAGUCAGGGCAAGAGGGCUCUAGAAUAAUUGGUAAGGUGUGCCAUCACCAGCUGCUUCACUUUACUCCCCUUGUCUGUAGCCUUUUUUCACCUGUCCUGCUUUUUUCAGUAUUUCAUGUAAUGACACUGGGGGCCAGCUGGUUAAUGCUGGUGCACAGUGUCCAGGAGCUGCCUAUCUUAGUUGUUGAGCUUCUAGCAGUCUUAGCUAUUCUCAUGUGAGUUCCAGCUCUCUGAGAGGCAGGUAUUCUCUAUCUCUUUACUGUGCUGUUUCCUCAACUGUCUACUAUUUCCUAUGUGAUUUCUGAUUCUAGGUGAUGGAAGAGAGCUUUCUGCUCUUUGUCGAAGCCAGACGUCAGUGCCUGCCGCUAAGGACUCAGACUUGUUCUUUCUUCUCCCAUUUUUGAUUUGUUAGGUUUUCUGUUGCUAAUUAUUCUGUAUUAUCUUUAAUAAAUUAUCUCUUCUACUUACA
ensembl:lncRNA